GAUGAAGAACGUAGCGAAAUGCGAUAAGUAAUGUGAAUUGCAGAAUUCAGUGAAUCAUCGAAUCUUUGAACGCACCUUGCGCUCUUUGGUAUUCCGAAGAGCAUGCCUGUUUGAGUGUCAUGAAAAUAUCAACCUUGACUUGGGUUUUGUGCUCUAGUCUCGGCUUGGAAUUGGGUGCUUGCCGCCUUUACGAGCGGCUCACCUUAAAUGUAUUAGCUGGAUCUGUCUUUGAGACUUGGUUUGACUUGGCGUAAUAAGUAUUUCGCUAAGGACAUUCUUCGGAGUGGCCUCGUUUCUAGGACGCUUGUCCGCUUUCCAAUACAAGUUCCACCUCGUGGACAUGACUUUUUAUUAUCUGGCCUCAAAUCAGGUAGGACUACCCGCUGAACUUAAGCAUAUCAAUAAGCGGAGGA
rnacentral:misc_RNA from 1 species